GCCAGGUGUGGUGGUGCACGCCUGUAAUCCCAGCUACUCGGGAGGCUGAGGUGGGAGAAUUGCUUGAACCCAGGAAGCAGAGGUUGCAGUGAGCUGAGAUCGCCACUGCAUUCAGCCUGGGUGACAGAGCAAGACUCCAUCUCAA
ensembl:misc_RNA Metazoa_SRP Metazoan signal recognition particle RNA